GGAGAAAUGGCAUCGCUCCGCAGUAACAAUAUGCCUGCCUUCAAUGUACUUCUAUAGACUGUCUCCAGUCAUGACAGGCUACCAAGAACCUCUGACUUCAAUACUUCAACACUCCUGUUUGAUGGCCGUAUCUCAAGAAUUUGCUGCUAAGGUCGCUCUAGUCUUCAAUGGAUACAAGAAAGAAAUGUUAGAUAUCAAAGACGCAAGAAGAUGGAUCAUUAGUAGUGAUGACAAACAUCUUAAGCUGAGGAAUAUGAAAGUAAAUCCCUAAUUACGGCGCGCAGAGAACGAGUAAAAAAAUGUAGUACCAAACUCGUCAAGAGAUGGCGCCACCUCCGAGAUAGAACGCGCCAACGAUGUGUCAACGUAGAAUCUUGAUAUCCGAGAUGCAAAUUACUAAUCGUUUUUAAAUGU